CCAUCGGCCCUUUUCAGGACCACAAAAACAUACAUACGUAUAGAA
rfam:Trichomalopsis sarcophagae strain Alberta scaffold3549, whole genome shotgun sequence.